CUGGGAGGUAAUCUGUGACGAUCACGGCUUCAACUGCGGCGACUCAAGGUGGCGGAGAAUUGUGACUGAUUGCAAGGUUGCUUCUCGACUAUCGCCGCUCUGGAUUCGGCGACAACAGCUGUAAUUCUCCGCUUUCUAGAAAUCUGCAGACCGCUGAAGAGUUCAUCAUCGGUGGCGGCCAAAAUUGCUGCUCAGAGAGCUUAAGCCCCAUCCCCUGACUGCGGAGAUAAUUUUAUUGCAUUUUGAUGAUCUUUUCUAGAUAUUCAUAUUCAUGUUUAUUAUUUGUCGCAUGUUCCAAAUUAAUGAGUGAUCACUUGGUACUAGUUAUGAGUUAGCAAAUCUAAGACUUCUAAGCUUCAUUAUGUUUUUAGACGUGACAAAACUACUUGAGAAAUACAGUAUAUACUUUUUGAUUAAGCAAAAUCUGAUUCAUGUAUGCUACUUGGGCGGUUUCAGGAAGAGUCCGAGUUUGUCGUAGUAUAGGUACAUGUGGAACAAGUCUGUAGUGGAAAGGGAUGAAUUUUCUUUUGACUACAGGAGUUUGGUCUAGAGACUUGAGAUGGAAAUUGAUAAAUUUAUGGCCGAGAAUGAAAAGACAGCAAAAGUUGUAUGAAAAUUAGGUUGAGAGAAUCAGAUUAGAAGCACAGGAACGUGUCGCUGAGGCUGAAAGGAAUUAUGUGGAAUCCUUAGAGGUAUACAUAUGCCUUAAUAUGCCUAUGAAAUUCCUGAAUAUCUUCUUGCAUUUAGAAUACUGUUUAGAAUUUACAGAGAAAUAAUGCAGUCUAGUUAUGCAUUGGUAAAUGCAGUUUCAGCCUUAAUCACUGUUUUCAUUUUGAAUCCCCUAAAAUACCAUAAAAAAAUUCUCGAAGCUACUUGAUCUUUUUAGUUUUGUGGCCUUUAUCAACCUUUUGUAUUAGGAGGAGAAAACCAAAUGUCAGAUGGAUGAUAUGGAGUCAAUUGAGAAGCUUGAGAAGUGGACUAUCGACCAACAAAAGCAUGCUAUUAAUGCAGUGGUAGUUUGGGUUUGCAACCAUCAUUUCCUGUAGUUGUGAUAGCUUGAUCCUCUCAUUUUUUAAAUGGCAAUAAAAUUGAUGAAUCAAAGCAGAUCUGAAAUAAGAUGAGAAUACCUUUUCUUUGUUGCCACUUGCCACUUUCUCAAAGUUUAAGUGAGGAUUUGAAUUACUCUCAUGCAGAUUAACAUUGGUGCUGGUAAUGAGGAGGUUGUGGAGCUAAAACGGCUGCUCAAAGAUGAAGUUUGUCUACGAAAAGCAACUGAAGAUGAAAUUCACAACUUAAGUAAUCAGCUAUUUAGAUUUUCAAAGAUGGAGUAGGCAGGUGGAAACUCUGAUGGCUCUAGCCUUCAGCAAGAAGAAGUGAGAUAUUUACGGAGUGAACUGGCACAAAUAUCUAUUGAAGCUAAUCUAGUAUGUUUCGUAUUGACAAAUGACUAGUGUUUUUAGUGGUUAAAAGCAUCUUACUGUGACAGGUAAUUUUUUCCCUUGCAUACUUCUAUUUUAAAGUUAUCCCGUCGGUGUCUGCUCUGAUUGUCCUAAGCUCUGAAGCGAAAGGCUUCUAGCUAAAAUUUUACAUUGUAUUUUGUGAAAACGAAUACUUAAGUGGUCUAUUCUGUUUUUAAUAGGUGGAAUUUGGUGAUAAAGUUGAUUCAGUAUGGGAAUGCUUAGUGUGUUAUUCAUUUUCAAAAUUUAGUACAUAACUCAUUUGUACAUCUUCUUGAAAAAAAGAAGCCAUUCUUAGGCUGCACUUUUCAACUUCCCCAUGGGAAUCAUUUCUUAGACUGCACUUCUAUCCAUUGGUAGUUGAUGGAUAUAAUGUGAAUGAGUCUUUCUUUUCUAUUGAGGCCAAUGAUUUGAGGUUGGUUUCCCGAGUUCAAUGUUCCCGGUGAGAUUGCAUAUAAUAAGAUGAACUUGUUUGGAUCUGCAGAAGACAACUCCACUGAUUCCUAUUUGUUGAAGGAGUAUUUCUUGUUUGUGGUGUCGAAUUUGGUGGUUGUGAGCUUCGAUCCAUCCAAUGGUCGUUUGGUUUUGUUAAUGCUAUUGAGGGUUGCUGAGGUGGGGAGUGGUCUGUUUGAUGAUUCUGUGAGAAGAGUUGGGGGUGGCCGUGGCGGGUUGGAGUUGAGAAAACAAGGGAUGGAGGCGGUGUAUAGGUUGAAUGUUGGUGGUUCGUCUAUUAGGCUUUGGAGGGCUUGAGAGAUGGAUUCAGGCUGCAUGAUCAAUGCAGACACUGGCACUGUGCCUAACACCAAGGCUAAUGUAACCUGUGCCAAUCCGAACGACACUGCUGUGGCUCCUCUACUAUAAUCGCUAUCCUUCAGGGGUUCAGUACUGCUAAUGGUAAAGGGUCAUCAACGAGCUAUCAGAGCACGAACCAGCCAAAUGGCACCGUUAGGUCCAGGAGGAGUUUCACGUUAGCUGGGAGAUUAGACAAAUAAAAUUAUCCUACCCGAUCAUGCUUGAGCAUAUUGUGACUCAAAAGAUCGAACCCGGUCAAUCGACACCUCUUUUUUUUAGUUUAAUCUUCAAAGUAAGACUCACAAAGGAUGAUUGAAAACAUAGAAAUUCGAAAUUAAGUUUUUAUUCCAACA